CUCGACAGUCAACAGUGAAUGACGCCACACGCGGAAUUAGGCGCUCAAUACCCAUGAUGCUUUGCGGCCUGCUGUCCAACCUCCUCUGGGUUACACAGAGUCUUUUUGAAAUGGCAUACAUGAUGCUAUAUAUCUCUUACCAUGACAAUGAAUUCAUUUAUCAUUCAUUUCCUCAGUUAAUUAUACAUUUUGAAUAUUAAAUACAAAAUGGUAUGAUAAGGACAGUUAUACAUUGGGAUGAAAAGUUAAGAACAAAGUACGAUCUUGUUUGAAAUGUUGGUUAAAGGUUCUCUUAAGGUGUCCAACUUACCAUGUGAUUGCAGACAUAAACAGUUUCACAUCCCAUACAAUCAUAACCAUAUAUUAUAUUUGCGCAUUCGUUCUAUCUUUAAAUGGCAAUCUUUAUAGAGUUUUGUUUAUGUUUAGCCUGCA